rnacentral:rRNA from 1 species
UGCGCAGGCGGGCUUGUAAGUCAGUGGUGAAAUACUGCCGCUUAACGGUAGAACUGCCAUUGAUACUGCGAGUCUUGAAUAUGGUUGAGGUAGGCGGAAUGUGUUGUGUAGCGGUGAAAUGCAUAGAUAUGACACAGAACGCCAAUUGCGAAGGCAGCUUACUAAGCCAUUAUUGACGCUGAGGCACGAAAGCGUGGGGAGCGAACAGGAUUAGAUACCCUGGUAGUCC